rnacentral:rRNA from 1 species
GACGAACCGUGCGAACGUUGUUCGGAAUCACUGGGCUUAAAGGGCGCGUAGGCGGGUGUCCCAGUCCGGGGUGAAAGCCCCCGGCUCAACCGGGGAAUUGCCUUGGAUACUGGACAUCUCGAGCGAGGUAGGGGCCGUUGGAACUUCCGGUGGAGCGGUGAAAUGCGUUGAUAUCGGAAGGAACGCCGGUGGCGAAAGCGAACGGCUGGACCUCUUCUGACGCUGAGGCGCGAAAGCCAGGGGAGCAAAC